UGGGGUUUUAGCUUUCAAACUACAACUUGAACAAGUUUGAUGAUGUUCAAAAAAGGUUAAUUUUGAGUUCUGUUCACCAGGUCUCGCCAGAUCUGCUAUCGUGAUCGAACACCACGUUAAAAAUACUGUUCGCAAAGCGGCCUUUGGGAACCGAUCACCGAACUCAGCGUUGAUUUCACAUAUUUUUUAGUGUAGACUAAAAUUCUAGGUAGCAUUUACAACCCCGGUAUUAUAGAUGCACUUCAAAAAAACUUUCUUGUCACAUGACUCGGAGUUGGGAGUUUAAAUUUUGCUCACAGUUUCAUUUUUCUUGUACGCAUGACUCCAUCCACCGAUUGAACAAACGUUUCACGUGGACAAGAUUUUUCUGUCCAAAUUAUUUUUUUCUCAGUUUUCCUUUAAACGUUUCAUAUAAAACAAAUCAAUGUCACAUCCCUUCAAUCCAAGCUCCACGUUAACUGAAAACACUUUGUGUUUAGUAUUCAUCCUAAGGAGUCGAAAGGCUGAUUAAAUUCAGUUUAAUUGGAACAGAUCGUUGUAUCCCUUGUUUUGGGGAUACAUUCAUGGACUUGAGACUGAAGUUUAAAACGAAGUUCAAGGGAAAACAAAAUGUCAAAUUUGAAUUGUUUAUGUUGCCCCAUUUAGGGACAUUGCACUUAAGAAGAUUAUUGCUGUCAAAUCUUCUGCUCUAUAGCCAUACAUAACAACAGGUCAGGUUAACAAUUUCAUUCACUAAAUGGAAGUUUUUUUUUUCAACGUGCGGGACCAUUUCUCAUCGGAUUUGGCAGAAAAGCUUUAAUGAGAAUUAAUGCCUGUUGGCUCAAAUAAAUGACGGAAGGGCCUCGGAAAACUGUGAAUAUCCAUCAUUUUUCGGACAUCAAGUUUUAAUUAGGAAGUUUGCAGAACUCUCAUUUUUUGUACAAGGAUGCCAUUUUAAAGACUCUAAGUGAAUAAAUGUUGAGAAGAUAAAUGGCACCUUGGUAACUCACUGUAUCAACUCCGGAUGCCGGGGUGAAAGGACUGACGAAAUCUCAAUCUCUCACUCAGGAAAGGCCUGGUGAACAGAAUGAAUGAUUUGACUGGCGAUUUAAAAUCAGAUGUUAAUGACACGUUUACAAGUGGCAGCUGCAAGACAUUUAAGUCCUGCAUACAUUCACGGGAAAGUUAAUUUGCUCCUAUUGUGUUUAUAUAACUCUUAUAUCACUUAGUUGCAAAUAAUAAAACUGGUAAACAAGUUUUUGAUUAGUUGCCGAUCACGGUAAACAUCAAAAACUUAAAAUGA